rnacentral:rRNA from 1 species
AUUGAACGCUGGCGGCAGGCCUAACACAUGCAAGUCGAACGGUAACAGGAAGCAGCUUGCUGCUUUGCUGACGAGUGGCGGACGGGUGAGUAAUGUCUGGGAAACUGCCUGAUGGAGGGGGAUAACUACUGGAAACGGUAGCUAAUACCGCAUAACGUCGCAAGACCAAAAGGGGGACCUUCGGGCCUCUUGCCAUCGGAUGUGCCCAGAUGGGAUUAGCUAGUAGGUGGGGUAACGGCUCACCUAGGCGACGAUCCCUAGCUGGUCUGAGAGGAUGACCAGCCACACUGGAACUGAGACACGGUCCAGACUCCUACGGGAGGCAGCAGUGGGGAAUAUUGCACAAUGGGCGCAAGCCUGAUGCAGCCAUGCCGCGUGUAUGAAGAAGGCCUUCGGGUUGUAAAGUACUUUCAGCGGGGAGGAAGGGAGUAAAGUUAAUACCUUUGCUCAUUGACGUUACCCGCAGAAGAAGCACCGGCUAACUCCGUG